rnacentral:rRNA from 1 species
UGACCUCGGAUCAGGUAGGGAUACCCGCUGAACUUAAGCAUAUCAAUAAGCGGAGGAAAAGAAACCAACAGGGAUUGCCUCAGUAACGGCG